GCUAUUUUCAGAUCACAUAAUGCUUCAGUGCCAGCCUAAUUAUGCAUUUCUGUAAUGUGGGUAUCCUGUACUGUCAAGAUACUGUAUCCUGACUGCAUAUCAAGACUAGAAAGAAGAUUCAGCCCAUGCAUGAAACUCUGCAGAACUAUGAACAAAAGUACAAUUCAGGAGAUGUUUCUGAGAGUUGUAUGGCUCAGGUGCACAAUGAAUCCUGAAGUCGUGAGAUCUGUAAGUUCAGAACUUGUCCACAUUAUAAUUUUUUCUCAAAAUCUCUGCAAGAAUGAAAAUGUAACAAUUCAAAGAAAUAAAAAGGAUCAAGCUGAAGAAUGUGUGAGGAAUUUCAUGAGUACAGGGGAGAAACAGGUCCUGAACAUGCACAUGUGGAGGACUAUAGUAAGCUUCAAGAGAGAACCAGAAUACCCUUGUGGACAUCCAAGCACCUUUAAGAGGAUAUGA
rnacentral:lncRNA from 1 species